rnacentral:rRNA from 1 species
UACGUAGGGACCGAGCGUUGUCCGGAAUCAUUGGGCGUAAAGAGCUCGUAGGUGGUUUGUCGCGUUGUUCGUGAAAACUCACAGCUCAACUGUGGGCGUGCGGGCGAUACGGGCAGACUGGAGUACUGCAGGGGAGACUGGAAUUCCUGGUGUAGCGUUGGAAUGCGCAGAUAUCAGGAGGAACACCGGUGGCGAAGGCGGGUCUCUGGGCAGUAACUGACGCUGAGGAGCGAAGGCCAGGGGAGCAAACGGG